AGCACUGGAUGAGCUAGGGGGCGCAAGCUUACCGAACUCAACCAAACUCCGAAUACCUAUACUUUAGAACACGGCAGUCGGACUAUGUGAGAUGAGUUUCAUAGUCGAGAGGGAAACAGCCCAGACCGCCGGCUAAGGUCCUUAAAUCUAUGCUAAGUGGGAAACGAUGUGAGAGUGUUUAGACAGCCAGGAGGUUGGCUUAGAAGCAGCCACCCUUUAAAGAGUGCGUAAUAGCUCACUGGUCAAACGCUCUUGCGCGGAAAAUGUAACGGGGCUCAAGCAUAGUACCGAAGCCACGGAUAGUAAUAGGGAUUGCUCGCAAUCCUUAUUGCUGUGGUAGGAGAGCGUUCUGUAAGGAGAUACAAGGUUGACCGAAAGGACAGCUGUGGCCUACAGAAGUGAGAAUGCUGGCAUGAGUAGCGUAAAACAUGUGAGAAACAUGUUCCCCGUAAACCUAAGGUUUCCGACGGAAGGUUAAUCCGCGUCGGGUCAGUCGGUCCUUAGCCGAGGCCGAAAGGCGUAGGUGAUGGACAUCCGGUUAAUAUUCCGGAACCACUUUGAUGGAGCGAUGAGGGGACGCAGCAUGGUAGGUCAACCUGUCUAAUUGGACAUGGCAGGUUCUGCACAACGUAGGGCUAUGAUGGGUGUAGGAAAAUCCGCACCCGGAGCCUGAAUUGUGAUGGCGGGCCACAAGAGCCAGAAGUGAUUGAGCCAAGCUGCCAAGAAAAGCCUCUAAGUGAUGAAAUUUAAGUGACCGUACCGCAAACCGACACUGGUAGGUGGGUAGAGAAUACCAAGGGGAUCGGGAGAACCUUCGUUAAGGAACUAGGCAAAAUACCUCCGUAACUUCGGGAGAAGGAGGGCCUCUGAUGGUUAGCAAUUAAGCAAAGCUGUUGGAGGUCGCAGAGAAAUGGCUCUUCCAACUGUUUAUCAAAAACACAGGUCUCUGCUAAGUCGUAAGACGAUGUAUAGGGGCUGACGCCUGCCCAGUGCUGGAAGGUUAAGGGGAGAGGUUAGGGUUUCGAGCCAAAGCUUUGAACCGAAGCCCCAGUGAACGGCGGCCGUAACUAUAACGGUCCUAAGGUAGCGAAAUUCCUUGUCGGGUAAGUUCCGACCCGCACGAAUGGCGUAAUGAGAGGAGCACUGUCUCAACGAAGGCCCCGGCGAAAUUGAAGUACGUGUAAAGAUGCGCGUUACCCGCAGCAGGACAAAAAGACCCCGUGGAGCUUUACUACAGCUUGACAUUGAGUUAGGGCUUAGUUUGUGUAGGAUAGGUGGGAGGCUGUGAAGCUGGGGCGCCAGCCUCGGUGGAGCCGCCCUUGAAAUACCACCCUGACUAAGUCUUG
rnacentral:rRNA from 1 species